UUUUUUUCUUCACAGCUAAUUCACAAGCAUCAUCAAAUUCAACAGCAACAUGUGAGUCAAAAUUUAUUAUCUCAUUUACUCAUAUAGUUUCUCUUCUAUACAUGAGCGUUCUGCUUAUUUGUGUUGCAAUUACGAAUAUAUUGUAUUAUUGAAUAAUUUUUGGUUAUAAAAAUACAAUAUAUUUAUAACCAGUAUUAUUAUUAUUUACGGAUGUGUAUUAUGAUACUGAAAACUAACACCAAUAUUAUAUAAUAUAAUAUAUUGUGCAAUGGAGUUUAACUUUAAGGAUUUAGUCACAUAAACAAUUUUUUUUUAUAUAUAUAUUCAUAGCUGAAGCACAAGCUGAAGCAGAAGGUAAGUCUAGAUUUUCCAUUUUUAGAUACAAAUAUGAUUUUAAUAACAGCCUUUAAAAUAUUUAUACACAUAAGGGGAAACUAAUGAAUCCACUGUGUUUUUGUUAUAUCCGGAAAUUGUAUCAACUUCAUCCGGAAGUUUUCUACAGGAGGUGUUUAGCGCUUUGCGUCACAGCAUCUCGCUUUGCACGUGUGCGAUUUCCGCCUAUUUAAUUUACAAGUGCCGCAACGAGUAUUAUUAUUAUUUAACGGAAAUUUAUUAUAAUACUGAUAACUAAUACCAAAAUGAUAUCGUAUUAUAUAAUAUGCAUUAGAGUUUGACCUUAUUUAAGGAUUUAAUCGCAUUAACUACUCUAUUUUCUUUUACAUUCAUAGCUCAAGCACAGGCUGAAGCAGAAGGUAAGUCUAGGUUUUCCAUUUUUAGAUACAAAUAUAAUUUUAACAACAGCUUUUAAUAUAUUUACAUACAUAAGGGGAAAUUAAUGAACUCACUGUGUUUUUGUCAUAUCCGGAAAUUGUAUCAAC